CACGUAGGGUGCGAGCGUUGUCCGGAAUUAUUGGGCGUAAAGAGCUCGUAGGCGGUCCGUCACGUCGGAUGUGAAAUUCCAGGGCUCAACCCUGGACCUGCAUUCGAUACGGGCGGACUAGAGUUCGGUAGGGGAGACUGGAAUUCCUGGUGUAGCGGUGAAAUGCGCAGAUAUCAGGAGGAACACCAGCGGCGAAGGCGGCGCUCUGGGCUGGAACUGACGCUGAGGAGCGAAAGCGUGGGGAGCGAACAGG
rnacentral:rRNA from 1 species